GAAAACGUGUAGAGAGGGAAAAGUAAGAGCAAGUCAUUCCUUGCAGAGAGAACCAUCAUGGGCUGAGAGUGGUUUAGGAAUGUUGCUUUGAACAUGCACCCUUGAGUCUCUUUUUGAACUUUGUACAGUAGGAAAGAGCGAGUGGCUUCGUUAAAAGCCAUAAAGUGGAGAAGCGAUUGCCUUCUCUAAGCAGAGUGGAACCGCGCAAAAAAGCGCCUCUGUG
rnacentral:ncRNA from 1 species